rfam:Salmo salar isolate Sally breed double haploid chromosome ssa21, whole genome shotgun sequence.
UGGCUCAAUUGGUAGAGCAUGGUGUUUGCAACGCCAAGGUUGUGGGUUCGAUUCCCAC